CAAGGGGCAGGGUUUACUUAAAAAAAUAAUAAUAAAAAGAAGGUAUCCUAUCAGAUGAGUUUUGACAUAUGUUUACAGCACAGAACCAUGACCACAGUCAAGACUGGGAACAUAUCCACCACCUCCAAGUUUUUUUGUGCCCCUUUGUUAUCCUUCCUCUCACCUGUCCAAUCCCUACCCCUGGAUAAUGACUGAUCUUCUUUCUGCCACUAUAGAAAAAAAUACACCUAACUCUAAAAUAGUCCUAUAAAUUUUGUUUUGAGUAUAGCCUUUUAUGAACUUAUUCUCUAAGUGAACUAGAGAAGGCUUGGGUGAGUAUUUAUCCCGUAGGCAUUUUGGGUUUAUAAAAUUAAAUUUAGAAUAAACACAUAUUUGCAAAUUAGGAAAAGAAAACUGUCCCAUCCACAUCUCAAGUUAAUGCAGUUGUUCUCAAGUGGGAUGGGUGUGGGAAUUUUGCCCCCAAGGGAUUUCACAUUGUCUGGAGACAUUUCCGGUUGUCACAACUUGGGGAGGUGCUAUUGGCAUCUAGUGAGUGGAGGCCCAGGAUGCUGCUAAAUGUCCUCUAACACACAAGAUAGCCAGCCCUCUCAACAAGAAUUAUCUGGUUCAAAACAGCAGUAUUGCUGAGACUGAGAAACCCUGAUAAAAUGCAAUGUACUUUCUUUAACUUGUGCUCCCCAAAACUGCUCUCAUAAAGACCUAACAAUCAUCCCCAAAUAGGCAAUUGAAAGGCUUCUUCUGCGUGCUCCUAUAAUAGUAUUUAGCUUCUCUACAGCACUUGACACUCUUUACCAUCCUCUUCUGUCUUUUAAAGUUUAUUUCAUUUAUGUUAAUAAUCUCUACACCCAGUAUGGGGCUUGCACUCAUGACCCAGAGAUCCAGAGUCUCAUGCUCUACUGACUGAGCUGGGCAGGCACCCCAUCAUCCCCUUCUUUCAAAACCCCUUUCUCUUGCAUGACAGUGUCUCACAUGGCAUUGCUUUCUCUUGGUUCUCCUCCUCUGUUAGCUAUCCUGCAUCUGUUGAUGUUGAUGUCCUUCAGGGAUCCCCAUAGGCUCUUGGUUCUUAUUUUACACGUGAUUUUUCUGGGUGCUCUCUUCCACAUCCAUAGUAUGAAUGAUCUCUGGGUUGAUAAAAUCCAAAUCAAUGCAUUUAGCAACUUUCUCUUUGAGUAUCCUACUCUCAUCCACUAUUAGAUUUCUUCACUCAGUAUCCUGUCGAUAUCUGAAACUCAAUAAAUCAAAAACGAAACCCAUUCUCUUCUCCAGCAAAUCUCUCCCCUUUCUACUGAUUCAUCUCAUCUCUUUGUUGUCCACCUUGUUGCUCAGACUGGAAUAUUUGAAGUUAUCUUUGGCUUUUCCCUUUUCCCCUACUCCCCACAUCAAGUUUUCUGGAUUCUAAAUCUCUAGAUCUUUCUAACACACCUUAUCUUUCAGGCCAUAUUAGCUUUCUCCCUAAAUGCUGUAAUAGAAUCCUUCCUGAUCUCUGCCUGAAGCCUCAUCCUUACUGAAAACCAAACAAGGAGUAAUCUUGCAAGUUCUACAGACUAACUAUUGUGUUUGUUUAGCAAACAGAGGUUAAGCUUUCAAAACUCAAAACAUUGCCUUCUCCGUGAAACAUUCCUUGUGUCUCUGUGAAGUUGAGAUUCCUCCUCCCCCUGCUGUAUGUUCCUCUACUGCUUCCUUCCUAUCAUUAUUACAGUACUUAUGAAAUUACAUUGUAAUUACUUAUGUGCCUACCUUUAUAAUAAACUUUUAUUAAGUUGUCUGCCUAGAGCUUUUUCUGAAGAGCUGCCUUACCCCCAACUCCACAAAUACCCUUCCCUCUUCAUCCCCAGUUCUGUGUUGGCCACCAUCUCCAUAGUUACACGAAGAACUCUUGUGGGCAUGUGUUUACAUCAUGACCCUGACACCUUCUCUUCCUUGACCUGGGCAUCUGACCCAGUUCCAGAUUGCUGAGAAAGCCCGUCUGUAUCCAUGCAUGCAGUUUCCAGUAUGCUCUGCCCAUUGCUGCUUCGUUGGCCUUAGAACUCUCCUUCAAUACAUCCACCUGCUCCCUCCCAGAAGUUUGGUUUCAGAAGUGCCUCUCUCCUGAGAAACGGAGGCUCCAGACAUGCUCAGUCAGCAAAGCCAGGAGCUGACAGCGGACCCUCCCCGUGUCCCUGCUCCGGACUCGGACCUCGCGCGCAAGAGUGACUUGAAGUGUCUUCAUUAUUUAUGAGGACCUGGAAAAGUCAUGACAACUGUCCUGAAUUUCACCCAAGGACAAGGGAAGAACAAGCCUCACAUACUAAAAGAGGCAAUGGAGAAAACAGAUAAAGUCAUCUUCUGAUUAUAUCCCACGAGUCCUGCUUAUUCACUGUAAGGGUCAUACAGACAAAACCGUCUGCAGUUUUUAAAGGAUACGUAAUUGACAAGAGGAUGGAAAGGAAAUGCAGGUUAUUACAGGGAUUAAACAGAAAUGUCAUGAUAACUAUUUUCAUUUCUUAAAAGGAUGCUAGGAGAAUUUUAAUUAGUUGGUAAAAAUAUAUAUCAGGUAAUUUAAGAAUAAGGUUUGCAAUCUGUUCCACAGCUGGGGAAGUGAUCUGAGUUAUUGCCUUUGUGAAACAGGCCCAUAAGACAUUUGCUCCUUUCUGUUUCCAAAGAAUCACAGAAGCCAUAAAUGGCUAAGAUUAAUUGUUCACUAUUUGCAUUCUGCCAUUGAUCAAUUAAAAAAAAAGCGUGGUUUCCUGUAAAACAAUAAAGAUGAUGCCCAUAAACCAAUAAAC